CUGCUUUCUAGAGGAGGAGGCGACCAACCGUCGCCUCCUCUUCCAAGAAGAAGGCAACGCCGGUUGCCUUCUUCCUGGAGGAGGAGGCAACCAAAAUGUCGCCUCCUCCUCUAGGAAGAAGGCGACCAAU
rnacentral:snoRNA from 1 species